GACGAGGGGUCCUAGCGUUGCUCGGAAUCAUUGGGCGUAAAGCGGGUGUAGGUGGCUUUUUAAGUCAGAAGUGAAAGCCCUGGGCUUAACCCGGGACGUGCUUUUGAAACUAAUUAGCUUGAGUGCUGGAGAGGGCAGUAGAAUUCCUGGUGUAGUGGUGAAAUACGUAGAUAUCAGGAGGAAUACCGGAGGGGAAGCCGGCUGCCUGGCCAGACACUGACACUCAGACCCGAAAGCGUGGGGAUCAAACAGG
rnacentral:rRNA from 1 species